rnacentral:rRNA from 1 species
UCUGCAACCCGGCUACAUGAAGCUGGAAUCGCUAGUAAUCGCGGAUCAGAAUGCCGCGGUGAAUACGUUCCCGGGUCUUGUACACACCGCCCGUCACACCAUGGGAGUCGGAAAUGCCCGAAGUCUGUGACCCAACCUCAGGGAGGGAGCAGCCGAAGGCAGGUCGGAUGACUGGGGUGAAGUCGUAACAAGGUAAC